AAUGGAAAAUACAUAUUGAUCAUGAAAUUUACUUUCCUUCCUGCUGAGUAUUUGCCGCUUCACAGUAUAUGAUGGCGGGAUGGUCGGCACUUCCAUAUGACCUAAUUGAAUCAAUCGCAAACCAGUUGAUCACAGUUGAAGACUUCAUUUCAUUUUCCUCAGUAUGCCGCUCCUGGAGGAUAGUCUAUAAAAGCAAUAAAUGGCAUCCUAGUCUUCAAUUACCAUGGCUCAUGCUUGGGGAAAAGCAAACCAACAACGGGCCCAUACGACAAUUCGUUAGUAUGUGCAAGUUUAAGUUUCAUAACUUGACAUUGCCUGAAACUCAAAAUUGUUCGCCUUGUCAACCCUUUUACUCGUGUUUGCACUAAUCUUCCAUCGAUUAGCACAUUAAAAAUCCAAGGUGAUUGUUGGUUUUCUGCUAUUCACAAAGCUAAACUCUUCAAGAUUCAAAAUGGAUAUAUGGUUUUCAUUAUAUAUGGCCGUCAUAAUGAUGUGGCAUUCACUAGAUUGGGAGAUAACAGGUGGUCUUUGGUUCAAUCUUUAGCUUGUUUUGUUGAUGUUGUGUGCUUCAAGGAUCAAAUUAUGGCACUUUCGUUUGUGGGAACACUCUUUUCUCUUGACAAAAAUGGAGUUGAUCCUCCAUGGAUGUUGGAGAUUAGUCCUCCUCCCCUACAAGAGAAAUCUUGGCAGCGGCUAUAUUUGGUAGAAUAAUCAGGAGAUCUCUUAAUAUUAUUUUAUUAUGGAAGUAGAUUCAGAGCAUACAAAUUUGAUAUCUCGGAAAGGAAGUGGACGAUGCUGGAGGACUUGGGUAAUAAUGUGCUACUUGUCGACGCCUAUAUUUGUACUUCCGUUCCUGCCUGUGGUCAUCUAAAGUGCAAUUGCAUCUACUUUGUGGAUGACAAUGUGGACUUGUUGUUGGCACCCGAAUGGAAAUCUAUGGGGAAUCACUUGGGUAUGUAUAACUUAAGAGAUGAUUACAUGGAAUAUAUGCAUUUAGGAAAUGAUACUUCCUUUAGGUAUAUUUGCCCAACCUGGGUACUUCCUAGUUUGUGGUAGAAACUUAUGACAUGCUUAUUGUUUAA